UGUUAAUUUUAUAACGUGCUGUUUUUUUUAAAUAAAAAAUAAAAUAAAAAUUACUUUAAUCACUUUUUUAUUAUGAGGGUCCUCAGAUGCUAUGUGAAAAUGUUUGUGCGAAUCGGACAAAGCACAUGGGGGGAACACGAAAAAGUAGUUCACGGACAUUUCGUGCUCUGCCGGGAAAAAAUUUGAGGCGGAAGUGGGCGUGGCCUAUAUGGGGAGAUUCAGCUCCAUUCACCGAAUGCGUGGAUAUAAGUUUUUGAAUGUGCGACAAACUAUGCGGGAGUUAUCAGCCUAAAUGCACUUUUCAUGAUAGUAGCGCCACCUAGUGGCAGACCCGAAAGCAACGCAUAGAAUAUCAAAUUUUUCACCAGGCCUGACCACUUUGCCAAAUAAACUUGAGUUUUCGUAAAUGUUCAGGGGGCAAAAAUGUAGUCAAAAGUGCUAAAAAUUAUAAUAGGGAAGAAGAAACGAAGCAAAAACAAUAGGGACCUCCAGCGGUGGCUUGCGAGGUCCCUAAUGAGUACAUGCAGCAUUAUCUUACAGAUCAAUAAUGUACCUGCUAUAUAAAGUGUCCUGUUGCUCAGGUGAUGUAUUCCAGCACGGUGGGACAGGUAGCCAGUGGGCGGAGCCUGCUGAGAGACCUGCUGGGAGCCUACAGGAGACUUAGCUCCAGACCACCUAAAGGUUUUGAGAAAUAUUUUCCAGAAAGUCAGAAAACUCCAAAAACCCCUGAAGCAGCAACCAAAGGUAGAAAAUCUGCUGACACCUGUCAUCUACUGACACCUGCGUCACCUACUGACAUCUACUGACACCUACUGAUACCUAUUGUCACUUACUGACACUUACCGUCACCUAUUGACAUCUACUGUCACCUACUGACACCUACUGUCACUCACGUCACCUACUGACACCUACUGUCACCUACUGACACUUACCACCAUCUAUUGACAUCUACUGACACCUACUGACACGUACACACACCUACUGACACUUACCGUCACCUACUGUCACCUACUGAUACUUACCGCCAUCUAUUGACAUCUACUGACACCUACUGACACGUACACACACCUACUGAAACCUACUGUCACCUACUGACACUUACCGUCACGUACUGUCACCUACUGACACCUACUGUCACCUACUGACACUUACCAUCAACUACUGUCACCUACUGACACCUACUGACACGUACACACACCUACUGACACCUCCUGACACUUACCGUCACCUAGUGUCACCUACUGACAC
rnacentral:lncRNA from 15 species